GAUGAACGCUAGCGGCAGGCUUAAUACAUGCAAGUCGAGGGGCAGCACGUCUUCGGAUGGUGGCGACCGGCAAACGGGUGCGGAACACGUACGCAACAUACCUUUAUCUGGGGCAUAGCCCGAAGAAAUUCGGAUUAACACCCCAUAAGAUUAUAGAGUGGCAUCACUUAGUAAUUAAAAAUUUAUUGGAUAGAGAUUGGCGUGCGUCCUAUUAGCUAGUUGGCGGGGUAAAGGCCCACCAAGGCGACGAUAGGUAGCUGAUGUGAGAGCAUGAUCAGCCACACGGGCACUGAGACACGGGCCCGACUCCUACGGGAGGCAGCAGUGAGGAAUAUUGGACAAUGGGCGCAAGCCUGAUCCAGCCAUGCCGCGUGAGUGAUGAAGGCCUUAGGGUUGUAAAGCUCUUUCGUCAGGGAAGAUAAUGACGGUACCUGAAGAAGAAGCCCCGGCUAACUUCGUGCCAGCAGCCGCUG
rnacentral:rRNA from 1 species